ACAGCCACUUACAAACAAAAAAAGAUCUAAAAACAAUGUAAUCAUUCAAGUUCGGGUCGAGCUGGUUUCGAUCUUGUGGCAUAAAUAUAAUAUCUAACACCUGAGUCUGUAGCUCUACACAAUGAGCUAUCAAAGCUCUAUAUCAAACUGCUUCCAGUCACAUAUUUAUCAACUACGUCAGCAACCAGGUAACAUUUUGUUUUGAGCUGAUCUAAAACAACUGUUUUCACGUUUCUUUCCUCGCAUCUACGGCCAUAUGGACUACUACUACUUCAUCACAGCCACCUACUAAGCUACACAUUGUGACUGAUACAUAUUUUUUAACA